GUAUCCGCGUGUCCCAGGCUGGAUCCCCCGACGGUGAUGAGGACGCUGUGAUCAAGGCCGGAGAAUACUCGUACACUGCUCCUGACGGCACUCCCGUUGUCGUCAAGUACGUUGCUGACGAGAACGGCUUCCAGCCCCAGGGUGCCCACCUGCCCGUGGCUCCCGAGUUCCCUCACCCGAUCCCUCAGUUCGUCCUCGACCAGAUCGCAAAGGCCGCCGAGGAAGACCGCAACCGCGCCCGCGACGAUUCUGAUGAACGUUACAAUUAGACAGCUACCCAUGAAACCUAAUGUAUAUAUUGUAUAUUAUCAAUAGACUAUGUACGUAAUGUA